UCCUCCUUAGGUUAAUCUAAACUAUCGAUUUGUGGGGUCGGAGAUCUGGUUUGAGAGGGGGAA
rnacentral:tRNA from 1 species